rnacentral:misc_RNA from 1 species
GAUGAAGAACGUAGUGAAAUGCGAUAAGUAAUGUGAAUUGCAGAAUUCAGUGAAUCAUCGAGUCUUUGAACGCACAUUGCGCCCCCUGGUAUUCCGGGGGGCAUGCCUGUCCGAGCGUCAUUGCUGCCCUCAAGCACGGCUUGUGUGUUGGGCCCCCGUCCCCGGUUUCCCCCGGGGACGGGCCCGAAAGGCAGCGGCGGCACCGCGUCCGGUCCUCGAGCGUAUGGGGCUUUGUCACCCGCUCUGUAGGCCCGGCCGGCGCCAGCCGACACCCCACUUUAUUUCUAAGGUUGACCUCGGAUCAGGUAGGGAUACCCGCUGAACUUAAGCAUAUCAAUAAGCGGAGGA